rnacentral:misc_RNA from 1 species
AACUCUUUGUCACCUUAUGGUGGAAUAGCUUUAUGAUGUAUGCUUAACUAGAGGCAUUAGAAGCUUGCUCGCUCUCUCUCUUUUGUAAUUUGAGAAGAGGAAUAAUUCGAGGCUUAACAGAGUUGAUGAGUGGCCUUUCAGUACCUUUCAUCAACAAAUCAAGACGUUUAAAACAAAAAGUAAAGCGCAAUAUGGGUUAUGCAACUAUCAAUGUGCUCCCAGUAACAUUUACUUUAUGGGUUUUGCUUGAUGAGAUAUGAAGAGCCAUUACAUAUGUAUACCCCACCCAAGUUAUGAUUUGUGAAAAUACUGUCUUGACUGAAAAAAAAAAUUCAUAAUUUGCAGUACUUCAACUACAUGGGAAU